rnacentral:lncRNA from 1 species
AUGACCAAGGCAACUCUUAUAAGGACAACAUUUAAUUGGAGCUGGCUGACAGGUUCAGAGGUUCAAUCCAUUAUCAUCAAGGCAUGGCAGCAUCCAGGCAGGCAUGGUGCAGGUAGAGCUGAGAGUUCAACAUCUUCUGAAGGCUGCUAGUGGAAGACUCAAUUCCAGACAGUUAAAAGUAGAGUCUUAAAGCCCAUGCCCACAAUGCCACAUCUACUCCAACAAGCCCACACCUCCUCUAAUAGUGCCAUUCCUGGGCCAAACAUGUACAAACCAUCACAAAUGGCAACCUAGACUCCAAUGUUAUUUGGAACCUUUACAAUUACUAUGCAUGAUUGGGGAAAUGGAAAGAGAUUCCCUAUGUCCAUGUCUGUCCGGGCCCACGGGUCAGUCAAACAGGGUCUGAGGAACCACCUGUGGAGAGAACGGGGAGCGAGGAACACAAAGAACUGACAGCAAGUCUGAUUGAUCAAGCUGUCAAACUUUAUUUUUCCCAGGUAGGUUUUACGCCCAUGAAGCAGGAUAUGGGGAGAGGGAUGACACAGAGUCGCUUUGCUUCUGGGAGAAUGCACCUGUUCCCAAAAGCAGGAGAUUGGCUAGGUAAAACACAGCAGGAGAAACAGAACAGAAUGGGUUGCUAGGUACCUGUCCACAAGAUCUAUAGCUAUUUGUUCUUAACUGGAGGUAGUACUUUCCUACAGAGGCCUCAACUUUUCCCACAAAAAUCUUAACUAAUCUAGUACUUUUCCACCAAGGCCAAAACUUUGUAACUAAGCACUUAUGGCUGACAAGGCAGUUAACAUUUAAACAGGGUCGCUCCCAACAAAAGCCUUCUCUUAUCUCUGCUCCAAGCCCUCUCUCUGUUCUUCCUGACCCAUUACCCAGCUCCUCCUACCCAUGAAGCCCAAACCAGGUGAGUUCUCUACUGCUUUCACUUGGCCUCAACCCACAGCUCCUUUUCUGGUCUUUUCUGUCUCCCUUCUCCCUCUCCAGCCACAGGCCAUGCUUGUCAAAUCUUGCUGGCACUCACUUUAUGCCCACUGGUGGCCCUUGACCUGCUAGUCAUUCCCACACUGUGAUGGAGCCCCCUCUCUAACUCCCCUUACCCAGCCCACCUCUGCAAGUAGUGACAGGGUGGAUGGCUUCUCACUGAGUGAACUCUCUCUGAUAGAAAAAAGACUGGGAGCCAGGCAGCGGUGGCACAGUCACCAAACCCAUAAUCCCAGCAUUCUGGAGGCAGAGGUAGAUAAAUCUCUGAGUUUAAGGCCAGCCUUGUCUACAGAGCUUGUUCCAGGCAGCCAGGGCUAUGAAGAUGAAAGGAAAAAAAAGAUUGGAGUCCUAUAUCACUAAUCUCUCUCUCUCUCCACUUCUAUUAAAGAAUUCUGAUAUAUUGUCAAAUCAUACAAACUUUGUUUGUUUGUUUGUUUGGUUUGUUUUUUUCCAAGACAGGGUUUCUCUGUCUAGCCCUGGCUGUCCUGGAACUCACUCUGUAGACCAGGCUGGUCUCAAAAUCAGAAAUUUGCCUGCCUCUGCCUCCCAAGUACUGGGAUUAAAGGUGUGCACCACCACACCCGGCUCAAAUCAUACAAACUUACUUUCCAUGAUGUUUACAGGAUUCUCACCACCAUCCUUCUCCCAAGGAGCACAGGUGAGUCAGACUGGGCUGAAGUACGUGCAAGAUGAGGUCCACCAAAGUAGGCUGUCCACCUGGCUGGGACUGAGAUGGUCCCUGAUUGGGGUCCUGGGAGGGACUACAAUACUCCAGAGGGCAUUUUAGCUAGAGAUCAAUUUAUUACUUGCCUCCUUACCAGUCUUUAUAAGGAAAGUGGCCAUCCAGGACAAACAUGAAAACCCAUCUCAAUUCCUAGACUGUGUUAGAAAGCUCUCUUUUAACAAUGCAAAUCCUGAGACCCCCAUAUAGGAAACAACUCCUUAUGACCAACUUCUCCCAGAUUUUCCCUGAUAUUAGUGACAAACUUAAAAACCCAGAGAACCACCCCACCCCCGACUCCACAGGCAGAAGUCUUAGUGCUAGCCUUCAAAGUGUACCAUGGGAGAGAUGAGAAAGCCUGAAAACAGCAGGUGUGGAGGCACAUACCUUCAAUCUCAGCACUUGGGAAGCAGAGGCAGGGGGAAAGCCCAGCCCCUGCCAUGCUGGCAAUAAGGCAUCAAGAGCAAUUAGUCUGACAGCACUUGUUGGCAGUAAGUUGUCAGUAGCCAGGUUGUCAGUUACCUCAGGAAUUUCUCAGGAAGGCAGGUUCAGACUCUCAGCAGGUAGCGUCUUGGAGAACAGCGCAGGUGAUAGAACAAUAGACCCAUCUAGGUCGGAAGACUCCACCCUAGGUGGUCUCCUUAAAGUCUCCUUAAAGAACAGGUCUGAGUCAGCCUGCUCAAGGCUGGGGGAGGCUACACACACAAGCUGUUGUCUGGCUUUAAGAAAAAUUCUCGUUUCCAUGCAAACAACUUAAAAACCAUUAGAGAGAAAUUGAUGAGCUUAGAUCUACCAACAGUGGAGAAGAGUGACCUCUGCCUCCUCCACAGGGAGGAAUGAUGUUUCUAUGUCAGCCAGUUAGCUAUAGUAAAGAACUGACAACUCCUGACAGAUGUUCAAAAAUGUAAACAACAGUUCAGUGCCUCUCUGGCUGAUGGAUCACUGAUGGUCCUGUAUGGAGUUGGACACUACUCUCCCUAACCCUGCUUCUCCACCAAACUACAGGGACCAGAGACCUACAACCCCUGAACAUGCCCUGAUGGUGAAGAUCAUGCUUGCCCCAUGGACUUCAACACCCUCACACAGCAGGAAGUAGUUUAAUGAUAAUGUUGUUUUCUUUCCUGACUCCUGAUUAGUUAUCAAUACUAAACAUAAAAGGGAAGAAAGCAGGGAAAAGGGCCAAAGGAGGGACAGCCAGCCACUGGCUUGAGCCUGGCUCUUGAGACCAGGCAAUCCCCUUCCGUAGGAUUCAGCAUUAACAGCAGAACGAUGCUCAGGACAGCUCUGGACUUUUCCACCUUUCCAUGCUCACUGUGCAUGGUCCUAAAACCUAUAAGAGCCUUUCCUUCACGCAGCCCUCUGCUGUAGCUGUUCUCACUGAGACAGCCGCCAUUCUGUGUCUCUCUCCAAUAAAUCUCAUGUGAAGUUUGAUGUGUGGUGUCACUUUGUGGUAUUCAUUGGCUCCCAACUGCCAAGAUGCCCUUGUGUCAGAAAACCCUUUUUAAAAUUUAUUAUUCUAUGUAUAUGAGUACACUGUAGCUGUAUAGAUGGUUGUGAGCCUUCAUGUGGUUGCUGGGAAUUGAACUCAAGACCUCUCCUCGCUCCUGCCCAGCUCGUUCCAGCCAAUCCAUUUUUAUUUACUAUUCUAUGUAAGUACACUGUAGCUGUCUUAAAACACACCAGAAGAGGGCGUCAGAUCUCAUUACGGAUGGUUGUAAGCCAUAAUGUGGUUGCUGGGAUUUGAACUCAGGACCUUCGGAAGAUCAGUCAGUUCUCUUAACUGAUCUCUUAACAUCUCUCUAGCCCCAGAAAACCCCUAAGCUCUGAGGGAACCCUUCCCUUUUUCCCAGGGUGGAGCAGGUUUCUCCUUAAUGACGUUUAUUUCUCAUUGUAGGCCAGCCUAGGCGGUGAGACCAUCCUUCAAAAAAUGCCCCACAGAGUAAAUGGCCAGGCAUGUACACACCUUGAGUUCCAGACUUUGUGAGACUGGAGAACAGGAUCAACUAUAGUUGGGGCCUCUGUGCUGCCUUGAAUGAGAAAUGCCCCCAUAGACUCAGGCAUGUAACACUUGGUCCCUAGUUGGUGGAGAUGUUUGGGAAUGUUUAGAGGGUGUGGCCUCAUUGGAGGAAGUAGCAUCUGAGACAAAAACUCUUCCUUCCAGAAGUCACUUUUAGUCUUGGUGGAAUUUUUUUGUUUUUUUUUUUUUGUUGUUUUUGUUUUGUUUUGGGUUUUUUUGUUGUUGUUGUUGUUUGGUCUAGUCUAUUGAGACAGGGUUUCUCCAUGUAGUCUUAGUUGUGAUGGCUAUUCUUGGUUGUCAACAUGACAUCAGAAAUGGAAGGCACACCUAUGAAAGAUAUUCUGCUUGGUUUAAAGUAGAUGAAUCCACUUCUAGUCUGGACCUUUGAAGGGAGAAGACACACCUUUAACAUGGGCUAUACCUUCUGCUGGAAGCUCAUAUAGGGACACAGAAGGAAGCUUUUGCUCUUUGCCUGCUUGCUCUUGCCUUAUUAGCGCAUCAAUUCCUUUACUAACAUUGAAGCCUACUUCUCCAUGAUUCCAGCAGAUACAGAAGACCAGAUGAAAUAUCCGGCCGUGUGGGACUGUAUAACAACUUGAUUCUUAGACUUUCCAUCCACAGCUAGCUACUGUUGGACUAGCUAGAAUGCAGACUCUAAGUCAUUCCAAUAAAUUCCCUUUAUAUAUGUAUUCAUUCCAUAAGCCCUGUGACCCUAGAGAACCCAGUUCCAGCUGUCUUGCAACUUGCUCUGUAGACCAGGCUGGCCUUGAACUCAUUAGUCUGCUUGCCUACUGAGUGUUGUGAUUAACAUCAUGUGCCACACACCACAUGGCUUAGUCAUGUUGUUUUAUCAUAGCAACAGAAAAGUAACUAGGAGGUUGGUGGUGGCAGUGCAUGCUUUUAAUCCCAGUACUUGAGAGGGAGGCAGAGGCAGGCAGCUCUCUGAGAUCUCUGAGUUUGAGGCCAGCCUGGUCUAUAGAACAAAUUCCAGGACAGUCAUGGCUACAAAGAGAAACCCUGUCUUGAAAAAACAAAACAACCACAAAAAAGAAGUUGGUAUUAUAGAGUGGGCUGUAGCUCUAACAGACUUAACCAUGUUUUUUGGAAGGACAUGGAAGACUUAGGAAUUUUGGACUAAAGAUAGCAGUUGACCCCUGUAAGAAAGUAUACAGAUCAUCUUAGUCGCAGUAGGAGCCUGGAAGACAGUCAUCCUGAGAGCGAGCAAUGUGGACUGUAAAGGCCCAGCUCAAGAGGUUUCAGAGGGAACAGCAUUAGUAACUGGGCAGGAGCCGUCCCUGAACUGUUUUGGCAGAGGAUGUGGUAGCCUUCUGCCUUGUCUGGAGAACUUGCCUGAGAUUAAAUUUAAAAGCAGUGGUCUUAUUUCUUUGGUGGAAGGAAUUCCAAACAUAUGUUGAGUCUGUGGUUAUGGUUGCCAAUGCUUAUGCAAAUGCUUAUGAAAAGGGGCAAUGGGGCAGAACGAAACAUGACAGGUAUAUACUGAAUUGUGGGAAAAUACCCUGGAGGCUUAGUAUUACACUUGAGAUCAGCAUCAGUAAAGACAGGCUUGCUCUGCCUAAGGGAACAAAGAGAAUGAUGCCCUCAGAGCAGGACUCCACCCAGCUAAGCUUUCUUUCUGCAAGGCAAAGGUAGCCUAUGGCAGGGGAAUCCCAGUUGGAAGUCCUUAAGAAGCCACUGUGUGAAGCUGUGAAAGUGAAGUCUGGGGUUGCACUGAAAACCCCAAGAUAUUGGAGAUGCCAGAUUCAUGAGUUGUCUGGCAAGGAGUGUGCACACAGGAAGUGGAACCAUCCUGACAGAGAGAUGUGUUGCAGGCAGCAAGGCUGGACACAGAGCCAUCUCAGCCCUCUGACAUCAGACACAGAGCUACAUACAGGCUUUAGAGUUCGCCCUGGUAGCUUUUGGUCUUUUAGUAAUUUUUCACCAAGCACCCAAUCCUCCUUUUGGAAAGGUAAUAUGUAUUCUGUGCCAUUGUAUGUAACAAUUGUAUAAUUUGCCUUUUGAUUUUGCAGGAGAUUACAAUUAAGAAAUUGUUUUGAGUCUUAGAAGCAUCUAUGGGCUUUUAAGCAGUGUUGAGACUGUGAAAGACUAGGGGAACUUUUGAUCUGAAAUAUUUUGCAGUUUGGUAAGGCUAUGAGUCUAUGUAGUCAAAUGGAAUGUGGUGAUUUGAAUGACAAUGGCUUCCUAAAAGAUGUUUGAGCAUUGGUCCCUGAUCCUGAUGCUGUUUGGGUAGGCUAAGGAGGCUGUCUUUGUGGAAGACUAUGUCACCACUUCCUGCUGAUUAGGGGCAAGUUUGAUCUUCACGGUCAGGAUAUCUAAUUUCUUCUUCUUUACAUACAACUACUUAACAAACCACAACCAACAGCAACCAAAAAGCACCAACCUACCAACCAACAACCUACCCUUCUUGGGGUCCUAGCAUUUAUACACCCUCUGAAAAGCCCCCAGAAUUCAAAAUACCACACAAACGCAGAAACCAUCUGUAGCUGGCAAAUCAUGCUUCUUCUAGAGAGUGAGGCAAAUCAGACUUAGCUGCUGUGGACAAUCUGAAACACAACACCUGACGCAUAAUCUGAAGCAAUCCCACACCUCUGAUUAAAACGAAAGCAUCUUCUUACAGUAUUUACGUGGUUUUUGUUGGGGUUUUUUUGUUUGUUUUUGGUUUUUCGAGACAGGGUUUCUCUGUAUAGCCCUGGCUGUCCUGAAAAUCACUUUGUAGACCAGGCUAGCCUCGAACUCAGAAAUCCACCUGCCUCUGCCUCCCAAGUGCUGGGAUUAAAGGCAUGAGCCACCACGCCCGGCUCUUGCCUCCAUUUUCUGACUGUUGGAAUCAUAGGAGUGAGUUACCAGAUCCAGCUAGUGUCACUUUUUUUUUUUAAAGAUUUAUUUAUUUUGUGUAUGUGAGUACACUGUUGCUGUCUUCAGACACACCAGAAGAGGGCAUCAGAUAGUUGUGAGCCAACAUGUGGUUGCUGGGAAUUGAACUCAGGACCUCUGGAAGAGCAGUCAGUGCUCUUAACUACUGAGACAUCUUUCCAGCCCCUGGUGUCACUUUUAAACAGGACUACACUUGGGUCUCACGCAGGAAGAUUAGAAGUUCAAGCCUAGCCUGGGAUACAGAGGGAGACCCCGUCUCAAAAAAGGAAAAACCAGAGUGGCCAGAUUGCUUAGCAGGUAUAGCCACUAACCCAGCCAAGCCUAAGAUGAUCCCCAGGAUGGUAGAAGAGAACUAACUCUUGGCAGUGGUCCUCUGUACAACACAAACAGUUAUAUAUAUAUAUAUAUAUAUACACACACACACACACACAAACAAUCAAACUUAGGUAAAUGAACAAGUAGAAUAAAGUUGUGUGCAUAGGACUCCACAAUAUUGUAGUCAUGCACUCUGAAGGCAGAGGAAGGUGGAUCUCUAUGAGUUUGAGGUCGGCCUGGUCUAUAAAAUGAGUUUCAGGUCAGCCAGCCAGAACUACACAAAGAAACCCUUUUUUUUUUUAAAUUAAUUUAUUUAUUAUAUGUAAGUACACUGUAGCUGUCUUCAGACACUCCAGAAGAGGGAGUCAGAUCUCAUUACGAAUGAUUGUGAACCACCAUGUGGUUGCUGGGAUUUGAACUCUGGACCUUUGGAAGAGCAGUCAGGUGCUCUUACCCACUGAGCCAUCUCACCAGCCCAAGAAACCCUUUCUUGAAAAAACAAAACAAGAAAAUGGGUUGGAGAGAUGGCUCAGCCAUUAUGAAUGCUUGCUGCUCGUCCAGAGUUCAAUUCCCCAUACCUAUAUGAUGACCUUGAACUCAAGAGAUCCUCCUGUUUCUACCUCUUUGAGUGCUGAGAUUAAAGGCUAGGCAUAGAAAAUGCAAUCAGAAGCACCAGGUAUGAUGGUGGGUGGUACAUGCCCUAUAAUUCUAGCGCUUGAGGAGGUGGAGGCAACAUGAAGAGCUCAAGGCCAGGCCUGUGAGACAAUGCAGCAGUUAAGAGCACUGUUCUCAAAGAAGGACCAGGAUUCAAUUCGCAGUAUGUACUCACAACUCCAUGUAAUUCUAGUUCUAGGGAUCUGACAACUACUUCUGGCCUCUGUAGACACCAGGCACAUAUAGGUGCAUAUAUACUACAGGCAAAACAUUAAUAUCAAAUUUAGAGACAGGGUCUCUCUACAUAUGGCUGUCUAUCCUGGAACUCACUAUGUAAACUAGACUGGAUUCACGGAGAUCCUCCUGCCUCCCCUUGAGUACCACCAUACCAGGCAAAUAAAAUAAAAAAUAAAGAAAAGAAAAAGGUUCAAGGCCAGCCUAGGCUACAUGUGGUCUCAAAACCUGGGGAGGAAUCUAAAAUAGCAAGGUCAGCAGGUACAUUGAAUGCUGUCCAAGAUGUUUUCAUGACUUGAUCCAUGCAAAACUAAUUGCCUGCUUAAUUUAUAGCUUGUUUUGAAAAAAAAAAAAAAGGCAUACUAUACCACUGAAUAAACAAGAUAGCAGGUCUGCAGGGUAGGAUGAUGCACUUAAUUCCAGCUCUUGGGCAGCAGAACUCAGGCGGAUAUCUGUGAGUUUGAGGCUAGCCUGGUCUCCACAGUGAGUUUCAAACUAGUCAGAAUUGCAUAGUGAGAUCCAGGCCAGCCAGGGCUUUGUAGUGAGAGCCUGUAUAAGGGGAGAAAAAUAAAAAUCAACUAUUAGAUAAUAAUAAAAGACAGAAGAUUGGCAUAAAUGUAAUGCACCAGGAGACACUGGAAGGAAUAAAAUGUUUGAGACCAGCUCAGGCUUCAUAAACUCUGCCAAAAAACACCAAACUAAGAGCCAAUGUUGAUGGAGGACCUUGUUUAUUUUGCUUAUCUGGUGAGAUUAAGUGUAUCUUCAAAAUGGGCUGCUUUCCAACUUGGAACCUGAGCUCCAAACACAUGCCAGGAAGAGAGUGUAUUUGAGAAGUAUUUGUUCGUGUUCAUUCUAUUGGUGUAAUGCAAAGCCUUCUGUCAUGUGCAGAAUCAAGAAACCAGCCAUGAUAAAUUUAUUUUCUGGGUGGGUGGGAGAAAAGGGCAGGGUCUUACUUACGUAGUCCUUGCUAAUCUGGAACUCACUGUGCAGACCAAGCUGGCCUGGAACUCCAGUGAGCCUCCUGCCUCCCAAGCGUUGGAAUUAAAUGCCUGGUUCCUCACCUCCCCCAGUACCCCCCCCCCGAAGUAUGACAAAUUUAAAAUUAACAGGUGUUGAGCAGCUCUCAGAAGUACAUGUGGUUUUCAUUACCUGUUUCCCUUCCGUUUCAUGUCUGGAUUUUUAAGGUUACAACACUACACGAAGUUAUUUCUCCCGAGGCCACUUUCGUAUAGUGCACUAAACUCGGAGCCCGCCCUCCAUCUGUCCAGUUGUAGGGGUCACCGAAGGACGGAGGACCGCAGCCUUUAUACUUGACUUCCUUCGUUUCUUGGUUUGACUUAAAACUCCAGGUGACCUUGGUGCUUCCCUUCCUCCCCCGUGAGGCGUUCCUGUUUUCCAUCACCUGAGAUGCAAAGGCGGGGUCGCUCCGUCCCCUCGGAACGCCAAGGGGAAGAUGCUGGGCGACGGUUCCGCAUCCUGCUGUUCAGACACAGGCUGGCCACCUCCAGCCCCCCCCGCCCCCCCCCCGCCUCUAGGAAGGCGACAAAAGCGGUGCUUCCUCUUGAGUUCCAGCCCCGCACGGAUGCAGACCCGAGGUGUCAGCGUCGCGCAGGCCUUGCAGACUUGCGUCCUCUGCAGAGGUGGCAGCUCCCAGACGUGACCUUAGGUCCCCGCAGCACGCGGGUCACAUGGGGACACGCACUGCCCUGCAGACCCGCGCCUGGGGCCUCUGCAGCGGAGAAGGCUGUGCGGAGCUCCUCCGAGCUCCUCGAGGCACGAGUCUAAACGCAGGGAACCGCUGCCUUCCUCAGAUUACCUAUGGCCGCUCCAAUCCUCUGGUUUCUAAACGCAGGAGGCCCUCAUCCGGGGGAGGGUCUUUCCAUUCCGCAACCCCAAAGCAGUCAGAAGAUAGAGUCGGUGUUCCAGGACUUGAAGGGUGCGCUUCCGUUAGGAAGCCCAUCCCUCCAGUCCCGAGUGGGCGUGGCCUUCAGAUAGCGUCCGUUGCCACGCCCAACUGCCUCCCAACGGCCCUCUGUGUCGGACCUCGGAACCAGGCGGCAGGACCUGCUAAUUGCGCCUGCGCGCG